rnacentral:rRNA from 1 species
AACGACUCUCGGCAACGGAUAUCUCGGCUCUCGCAUCGAUGAAGAACGUAGCGAAAUGCGAUACUUGGUGUGAAUUGCAGAAUCCCGCGAACCAUCGAGUCUUUGAACGCAAGUUGCGCGAAGCCUCGGGAYGAAGGYACGCCUGCCUGGGUGUCACAC